rnacentral:rRNA from 1 species
CAGUAGCGUAUAUUUAAGUUGCUGCAGUUAAAAAGCUCGUAGUUGGAUUUCGGGUGGGAAUGGCCGGUCCGCCGUUUCGGUGUGCACUUGCUACGCCCACCUUGCUGCCGGGGACGUGCUCUUGAGUUCACGCUCGGGACACGGAGUCGGCGAGGUUACUUUGAGUAAAUUAGAGUGUUCAAAGCAGGCCUACGCUCUGAAUACAUUAGCAUGGAAUAACACGAUAGGACUCUGGCCUAUCUUGUUGGUCUGUAGGACCGGAGUAAUGAUUAAGAGGGACAGUCGGGGGCAUUCGUAUUUCAUUGUCAAAGGUGAAAUUCUUGGAUUUAUGAAAGACGAACUACUGCGAAAGCAUUUGCCAAGGAUGUUUUCAUUGA